AUUGAACGCUGGCGGCAGGCCUAACACAUGCAAGUCGAGCGGAUGAAGGGAGCUUGCUCCUGGAUUCAGCGGCGGACGGGUGAGUAAUGCCUAGGAAUCUGCCUGGUAGUUGGGGAUAACGUCCGGAAACGGGCGCUAAUACCGCAUACGUCCUGAGGGAGAAAGGGGGGGAUCUUCGGACCUCACGCUAUCAGAUGAGCCUAGGUCGGAUUAGCUAGUUGGUGGGGUAAAGGCCUACCAAGGCGACGAUCCGUAACUGGGCUGAGAGGAUGAUCAGUCACACUGGAACUGAGACACGGUCCAGACUCCUACGGGAGGCAGCAGUGGGGAAUAUUGGACAAUGGGCGAAAGCCUGAUCCAGCCAUGCCGCGUGUGUGAAGAAGGUCUUCGGAUUGUAAAGCACUUUAAGUUGGGAGGAAGGGCAGUAAGUUAAUCCCUUGCUGUUUUGACGUUACCAACAGAAUAAGCACCGGCUAACUUCGUG
rnacentral:rRNA from 1 species